rnacentral:rRNA from 1 species
AAGGUUUAACGGCCGCGGUAUUCUGACCGUGCAAAGGUAGCAUAAUCACUUGUUCCUUAAUUAGGGACUAGAAUGAACGGCAAAACGAGGGUUUAACUGUCUCUUAUUUCUUAUCAGUGAAAUUGACCUUCCCGUGAAGAGGCGGGAAUACCAAAAUAAGACGAGAAGACCCUAUGGAGCUUUAAUUUAUUAAUUUAUUUCUUCUCAAUAAGAAUCUAAUGAAAUAAUAUUUAGAAUUUAAAUUAAUAAUUUUGGUUGGGGUGACCUCGGAGAACAAAAUAACCUCCGAAAGAUUAUAAUUUAGACUGACAAGUCAAAAUAUAAGCAUUAAUCAAAUUGACCCAAUCACUUGAUCAACGAACCAAGUUACCCUAGGGAUAACAGCGCUAUCUUAUUUAAGAGUUCAUAUCGAAAAUAGGGUUUACGACCUCGAUGUUGGAUCAGGAUAUCCCAA